rnacentral:rRNA from 1 species
UGGGGAAUAUUGCACAAUGGGCGCAAGCCUGAUGCAGCCAUGCCGCGUGUAUGAAGAAGGCCUUCGGGUUGUAAAGUACUUUCAGCGGGGAGGAAGGCGAUAAGGUUAAUAACCUUGUCGAUUGACGUUACCCGCAGAAGAAGCACCGGCUAACUCCGUGCCAGCAGCCGCGGUAAUACGGAGGGUGCAAGAGUUAAUCGGAAUUACUGGGCGUAAAGCGCACGCAGGCGGUCUGUCAAGUCGGAUGUGAAAUCCCCGGGCUCAACCUGGGAACUGCAUUCGAAACUGGCAGGCUAGAGUCUUGUAGAGGGGGGUAGAAUUCCAGGUGUAGCGGUGAAAUGCGUAGAGAUCUGGAGGAAUACCGGUGGCGAAGGCGGCCCCCUGGACAAAGACUGACGCUCAGGUGCGAAAGCGUGGGGAGCAAACA